rnacentral:sRNA from 1 species
GAGGAUGAGAACCUCCGGGGGCAAGAGGUUCGACUCGAGCGAAGCGAGAGAACGUUGCGUCAGCAACGGCCCGCAGUGGCAAGUCAUCCUCUGUCACCGGCCG